AGUGAACGCUGGCGGUAGGCCUAACACAUGCAAGUCGAACGGCAGCACAGAGGAGCUUGCUCCUUGGAUGGCGAGUGGCGGACGGGUGAGGAAUACAUCGGAAUCUACUCUGUCGUGGGGGAUAACGUAGGGAAACUUACGCUAAUACCGCAUACGACCUACGGGUGAAAGCAGGGGAUCUUCGGACCUUGCGCGAUUGAAUGAGCCGAUGUCGGAUUAGCUAGUUGGCGGGGUAAAGGCCCACCAAGGCGACGAUCCGUAGCUGGUCUGAGAGGAUGAUCAGCCACACUGGAACUGAGACACGGUCCAGACUCCUACGGGAGGCAGCAGUGGGGAAUAUUGGACAAUGGGCGCAAGCCUGAUCCAGCCAUACCGCGUGGGUGAAGAAGGCCUUCGGGUUGUAAAGCCCUUUUGUUGGGAAAGAAAUCCAUCUGGUUAAUACCCGGGUGGGAUGACGGUACCCAAAGAAUAAGCACCGGCUGACUUCGUGCCAGCCGCCGCGGUAA
rnacentral:rRNA from 1 species